AAAGCGAGUUUUUUUCCGAGUUAAUGACACCGCGAUUUUCAUCUGCUCGUGAAAACGUAAUUCUCGUAGACCGUGUUUCGUUCGUGAUCUGUCGGUUUCGAUAUUAAAAAAUCAGAACGACUACGAUCGUUUUCUUAGCGACUAAGUGCAAAUUUAAUCAAUUUACUCCGACCUUUGUAUGAAACGCCGAAAUAUAGAAGCUUUUCGACUAAAUUUUCACUCAAUUACAAAAAAAGACAUUAUUUUCCUGAUUUUUUAAUUUUGAAAAUUUUCGUAUAGGAUAAUAUAAUAAGUUAGCCUGUCAGUGUCUAUUUUACUGCGAUGUUAACAAGUUUUACUUUCAACCAUCAAUAAUUCGACAACAAUUAAUUUUAUGCGUUCACAACAUAAUUUUUAUCGACAUUAUUUGUCGAUACUUCCAAUAUAACCUACUGGAAAUUUAAGAUAUUCUACUCAAAUCAUCGUUUUAUUCAUUGAAAUAAAUUGUAUGUAUCAAAUAGAAAUUUCGUAUAAUACGAAACGAAUAGUAUGUGUGACGUCACAGGACUUUCGGCGCGGUCAGAUGAGGAGUAGGGAUGUGCGCGAACUAGAUGCGCGAUAGACUUAUCAACGCCAGUUCGUUCCGAGAUGUGCAGCGUGUAAGACCUUCAGAGGUGUUCCCGCGCACGUGGGCUAUUUGAAUAUUAGUACGGUAUUCCUGUGACGUCGUUUUGUCCAUACUUUCUGUCUCGUAUUGAACAUCGUAGACUUCAAAUCAGUUAUAUUAGACGUGUCGAUGAAGAGGAAAUGACGACGACAUCAAGUGUCGACAGAUGAACGCUAGUGGCGCGUAAAAUCAGUCAAAAUUAACUGUGAAAACGUUGUUGAAACCCUUGGUGAUCGAAAGAAGACCCAUGUUAACAUUGACAGUGCAUUUCGUUUAGCUCCCACGCAAACCUCACCAAAUAAAACCAUCCGAAACAAAGAGUGGGUGCAAAGAGAGACCGGGGGAAUCCAAGAGAAGUAACCAAAAAGUACGUGCACCGUGAAAAUGGAAAUGGGUUGGAAAGUCUCAAACAAAAGAAAGUCAUCGAAGGGAGUGCGAAGAAAUAAAGGAAUAAACGGAACGCCUGGUGAUGAAGCGAUACAGUGCUGUUAAACGAAGAGUGUUAGUCAGAGAGGGAGACAUUCAAUGGAGUUAAUCUGUGUCACAGUGCGAAUAGCGAUAAUCCCACCCCGUAGAUGAACGUUAGGAAUGGUCACAUUGAGGAGCUGAUCUGUUUACAUUGGACGAGGACGUACGGGAUACGGAACAGCCAGAAGAAGACAGAACAAGGACAGAGAGACAAGAGCACAACACAACAAACUGGGCCCGGCGACGGUGACUGAUGGUAUUUCAGGCAUUAGCCCUUUCUCAUGUCCGGUGUUUCGGAUACAAGUAUAGUAUAGAUGAUGUCUCCUACGUCACCCUCCCUGUCAUCAUCAUCAUCAAAGUCACCGCCGACGGACUCUAGGAUGCCAGCAUACGGGAAAGAGUCGUCAGGAUUUUCUCGUAGCCAUUGGACAUUACCUAAUGUUCCCUUGUUAGCGGAUCUGCACCCGAACCACCAGUAGGCUGUCGAUCUCGGGAACGCUGGAUCGGCAACGUCCAUCUGAAAAAUUCCCAAUGUCGUCUGAGUAAAGAGCUCGUCGUGCCCAACGAUUCAAUUAUUAAUCACGAUAGCUGAUUACUCAAUAAACGGAAUUAUGGAUUUCUCUUUGCCCAGCACUGCGGAGAACGUGUACCAGGAAAAUUCAUCCGCGUUGAUACAGCAUGAAAUUAUAAUCGCAGCUUCCAAAUAGUGCCACUCUCUCGUGGGUCACGUGUUCUCAUUCUCGGUCGAGUCACGCGAACGUUUUUUGUGCAGUUUCGCGCAGGUUCUAUGGAAAUCGGGGGUUGGAUAUUUAUGUAACUACGAGAAAUGGGACAGAGGACUGAAUUUUGAUUUCGCGGGAAUGCGGUCCUAUGAUGUUUUAAAGGUUAGAAAAUACACCGUCUCGUUCUAAAUAAUGGUCAUUCAGGUACGAGAAUUUAAAAUGUCCCCGAACAGGUAGACUAAAUUCUAAAUCUUACAUUUUAAUGUAAGCAUAACAUCGGGCUGAAUACCUUUGUGAAAUAUCAAGUUUUUGUAAAUAAUAACUUUGGAAGUAAUUCGUCCAAUUCUGAUUCCAAUUAUUAAUUUUGAUAUUCUCCCUUUAUCGUUUUAAUUCUACCUAAGCCACAAUAUCGAGAAAUAAUUUCCAGAAGUAGUUGAUUUCGCGGAGGAAUUCGUUGUCACGUUUUAUCAUGUCGCGGAAGAGUUGGCACGUUCCGCGGCGCCUCGAUUCUAUUAUUCAUAUAUUAUUAGCCAGGCGAGAUUUUCCGCAGAUCGCGAACAUGUUUUUCACGAAAUCGCAUUACUUCCGAUUUAUCGUUUCUUUCACGAAAUCUAAAAGCUGUUUAUUUGUUUGCCCUUCGAAGAAAACACGAGCUGCUACGAUAAAAUGAUUGCACGUUUACGACUUUGGAAAUUUAUUUACAAUUUAAAACCCGAAACAAUAUUCACUGGAAGCUGUCAUACGAGCAAGCUCAUAUUUGUGCGUAUAAAAAAAUAUAUCUCGUUACGAGAACGUCCGAUGCUACUGAAUUUAAUACGAACUUCAUUCCUGAAAAUGUGAAAUAAAAUAACAAAUAUAGGCUUUUAUUUCUACUUUUUAAAGUAGGAAAUAGAUUGCAGUGUAAAAUACAUCCAAUGAUGUUGAAUUUAAUACGAGCUUCAUUCCUGAAAAUUUGAAAUAAAAUAAAAAGUAUUGUCUCUUCUUUCUACUAUUUAAAGUAGAGAAUGCAUUGCAGUGUCCUGUUCCUA